CCUCACACACCCACACACACACACACACACACACACACACAAAAUGAAGGAAAAAACGCAUUUGUUUCAAAAUUAAAUACUCAUGUGUAUGUGAAUGUGUGUGUGUGUGUGUGUGUGUGGGAGCGAGAGA
rnacentral:miRNA from 1 species